UAACUAGUAUUCGGUUCAUUAGAUCUUCUUGUUAAUAAGUUCCAAUACAGUCGAUCGAAGAAGAAAGUGGCGGCAAUGGAGAUGCGAAAUAAAAUAAGUGGAGACGAUGGAGAUGGUCUCAUAUACAUAUCAGAGAUUCGUCUUUAUAGGUAUGAUUUCAAGUAUUACUAAUUUGGAAUGAUUUUGUGGAUUUUAUUAUAAAUCUGUUCUUUUCUAAGGAGAACAAUCGUGUGUAGCCAUAGUUGUUCGUACUAUUAUUUAUUUUCUUUAUUUAAAUUCAACUACUCUGUCUGUAUGUAAUUUAUUUCUUCUCAUUUUCAGGGCCUUAUAUCGAUAUGUUCUUUGUUGUAGAUAGCCUAGUAGAUGAAACUUGCAAAUUGGCUGAGCAUUAUUAGUUUCCCAUGCUGUCUGAUCUUUCUAGGCAUAUAUUUGAUCCAAGAUCAGUGGUUAGUAAUUCUGCACUUGUGGUUUUAUUCAAUUUGUCUGGUCUUUUGGCUUUUAUAUAUAUUUCUUUAACUUUAGUUUUUCUGUGUCUGUGUUGUUGGAUGUUGACUGUAAUUUUUAGAAUUACUCUCCAAAGAGAGAUAUUAGAAAUUUAAGUGGCAUGUCGCCUGCAUAUGUCAUUAGGAUUGUAUUGCUUUCUAAUUCUUUUCUUUCCAACAUUGGCUUUAGAAUAUGCUGGUAUAUAUGUGCAGGUAUCUGACUGUCUCUCCAAACUUUGUGAUGGAAAAAUAUAAAAUGGCCAAUGCAUUAAGUGAUUUAGGCACAAAGAUUUGGCUUCUUUCUGGUGACGAUAUAAAUAUGAGUAUAAGAAAUAGAGAUAUGCUUAUUUUAUCCAGUAUGAACAAUACAAAUGACUUAGGGGCAUUGAAUUGGAAUCAAAUUCUUAAAAGAUGAUUUAAUUUGUCUGCUGAUUAAUGGUGAGUAAUGAUGACCGUGAACACACCUUAAAUCAGCUUCUCACUGUAAGACUCUGAAAUCUAGCUUACUUUUUCUGAAUCACUUUUAAAUGAUGUUAUUAUAGCUAUUUUGUUGCUAUUCUCGGUUGGCUCUUUGUAUGCUUUUGUGGCAGGUUUGUGGUGGUGGAUUAAAUGAGCCAUACGUUGAGCUGAAGAGGCUUGUGAAUUCAACAAGAAAAGUUGUACCAGAUGGCUAGCUAGUUGCAUAUUUAAUAUGUUUAGUAUUUUUGUAAGGCAUAAUAGUAUAGAUAGAGCAGUUGUUGAAUUUUGACUAUAUUCAAAUCUUGUAUGAAUUCUUUUUUAUGAUAAUAAUAUAAAAUUAAAUAUUUUGGAUGAUA
rnacentral:lncRNA from 1 species